AGAGCUUGGAAACUGAAGAAUUUCUUCUGAAGGAAAAAAGCAAACAUGGUGCUGUUCAGGCUGCUGCAGCUGGUCAUGGCAUCAAUGUGGCUGGGAUCCAGUUUCGCCCAGAAGGUAGCUCAGGCCCAGCCAGCCGUGUGGGUGCAGGAGAAGGAGGCUGUGAGCCUGCACUGCACCUAUGACACCAGUGCCACAAGUUAUGGUCUCCUCUGGUACAAGCAGCCCAGCAGUGGGGAGAUGGUCUUCCUCAUUCGCCAGGACUCUUACAGCAAGGAAAAUGCCACACAAGGUCGCUACUCACUGAGUUUGCAGACUGCAAGCAAAUCCAUCCAGCUUGUCAUCCCAGCCUCACAGCUGGGGGACUCAGCGGUGUAUUUCUGUGCACUGAGAGGUGACACAGAGGGAGGACUGUUGGAGGCCGUUGUACAAAAACCCAGGGAAGGACUCAUGGAAACUCAGUGA